AAUGUUUGGGUGCAGCCAAGGAUGACUUACCAGUAGCAACCGUGCGUCCAAUGGACCACAGCGGCCGUGCAUCGGCAAGUCGUCUUUGGCUACAUUCUUCUUUCU
rnacentral:pre_miRNA from 1 species